UACGUAGGGUGCAAGCGUUAAUCGGAAUUACUGGGCGUAAAGCGUGCGCAGGCGGUUUUGUAAGUCUGUCGUGAAAGCCCCGGGCUCAACCUGGGAAUUGCGAUGGAGACUGCAAGGCUUGAAUCUGGCAGAGGGGGGUAGAAUUCCACGUGUAGCAGUGAAAUGCGUAGAGAUGUGGAGGAACACCGAUGGCGAAGGCAGCCCCCUGGGUCAAGAUUGACACUCAUGCACGAAAGCGUGGGGAGCGAACAGG
rnacentral:rRNA from 1 species